AUUACGCAAGGUGAUGGGGUUCCACCUACUUAACCGCCACUCUGGCUGAUGACUCCUACAGAAUA
rnacentral:ncRNA from 1 species